GGUUAAGCGACUAAGCGUACACGGUGGAUGCCCUGGCAGUCAGAGGCGAUGAAGGGCGUGCUAAUCUGCGAUAAGCGCCGGUAAGGUGAUAUGAACCGUUAUAACCGGCGAUACCCGAAUGGGGAAACCCAGUGUGACUCGUCACACUAUCAUUAACUGAAUCCAUAGGUUAAUGAGGCGAACCGGGGGAACUGAAACAUCUAAGUACCCCGAGGAAAAGAAAUCAACCGAGAUUCCCCCAGUAGCGGCGAGCGAACGGGGAGGAGCCCAGAGCCUGAAUCAGCAUGUGUGUUAGUGGAAGCGUCUGGAAAGGCGCGCGAUACAGGGUGACAGCCCCGUACACAAAAGCGCAUGUGCUGUGAGCUCGAUGAGUAGGGCGGGACACGUGGUAUCCUGUCUGAAUAUGGGGGGACCAUCCUCCAAGGCUAAAUACUCCUGACUGACCGAUAGUGAACCAGUACCGUGAGGGAAAGGCGAAAAGAACCCCGGCGAGGGGAGUGAAAAAGAACCUGAAACCGUGUACGUACAAGCAGUGGGAGCCCCACCACCAAAGCAUUUGCUGUACCGCGUUGACGGAGCGAAGCGACGUCAAACCGAUAAAACAGCAGUGUAAAGUGAGCCGCAGGGCGCUUUGCGCGACAGCGCAAAGGCAGGCGGUUUCGCGUAGCGAAAGCGAAUGCUUUGGGGUGGGGUGACUGCGUACCUUUUGUAUAAUGGGUCAGCGACUUAUAUUCUGUAGCAAGGUUAACCGAAUAGGGGAGCCGGAGGGAAACCGAGUCUUAAUUGGGCGUUAAGUUGCAGGGUAUAGACCCGAAACCCGGUGAUCUAGCCAUGGGCAGGUUGAAGGUUGGGUAACACUAACUGGAGGACCGAACCGACUAAUGUUGAAAAAUUAGCGGAUGACCUGUGGCUGGGGGUGAAAGGCCAAUCAAACCGGGAGAUAGCUGGUUCUCCCCGAAAGCUAUUUAGGUAGCGCCUCGUGAAUUCAUCUCCGGGGGUAGAGCACUGUUUCGGCUAGGGGGCCAUCCCGGCUUACCAACCCGAUGCAAACUGCGAAUACCGGAGAAUGUUAUCACGGGAGACACACGGCGGGUGCUAACGUCCGUCGUGAAGAGGGAAACAACCCAGACCGCCAGCUAAGGUCCCAAAGUCAUGGUUAAGUGGGAAACGAUGUGGGAAGGCCCAGACAGCCAGGAUGUUGGCUUAGAAGCAGCCAUCAUUUAAAGAAAGCGUAAUAGCUCACUGGUCGAGUCGGCCUGCGCGGAAGAUGUAACGGGGCUAAACCAUGCACCGAAGCUGCGGCAGCGACACUGUGUGUUGUUGGGUAGGGGAGCGUUCUGUAAGCCUGUGAAGGUGUGUCGUGAGGCAUGCUGGAGGUAUCAGAAGUGCGAAUGCUGACAUAAGUAACGAUAAAGCGGGUGAAAAGCCCGCUCGCCGGAAGACCAAGGGUUCCUGUCCAACGUUAAUCGGGGCAGGGUGAGUCGACCCCUAAGGCGAGGCCGAAAGGCGUAGUCGAUGGGAAACGGGUUAAUAUUCCCGUACUUGGUGUUACUGCGAAGGGGGGACGGAGAAGGCUAUGUUGGCCGGGCGACGGUUGUCCCGGUUUAAGCGUGUAGGUGUGUGUUCCAGGUAAAUCCGGUUCACUUUAACACUGAGGCGUGACGACGAGGCACUACGGUGCUGAAGCAACAAAUGCCCUGCUUCCAGGAAAAGCCUCUAAGCAUCAGGUAACAUCAAAUCGUACCCCAAACCGACACAGGUGGUCAGGUAGAGAAUACCAAGGCGCUUGAGAGAACUCGGGUGAAGGAACUAGGCAAAAUGGUGCCGUAACUUCGGGAGAAGGCACGCUGACACGUAGGUGAAGUGAUUUACUCAUGGAGCUGAAGUCAGUCGAAGAUACCAGCUGGCUGCAACUGUUUAUUAAAAACACAGCACUGUGCAAACACGAAAGUGGACGUAUACGGUGUGACGCCUGCCCGGUGCCGGAAGGUUAAUUGAUGGGGUCAGCGCAAGCGAAGCUCCUGAUCGAAGCCCCGGUAAACGGCGGCCGUAACUAUAACGGUCCUAAGGUAGCGAAAUUCCUUGUCGGGUAAGUUCCGACCUGCACGAAUGGCGUAAUGAUGGCCAGGCUGUCUCCACCCGAGACUCAGUGAAAUUGAACUCGCUGUGAAGAUGCAGUGUACCCGCGGCAAGACGGAAAGACCCCGUGAACCUUUACUAUAGCUUGACACUGAACAUUGAGCCUUGAUGUGUAGGAUAGGUGGGAGGCUUUGAAGUGUGGACGCCAGUCUGCAUGGAGCCGACCUUGAAAUACCACCCUUUAAUGUUUGAUGUUCUAACGUGGACCCGUUACCCGGGUUGCGGACAGUGUCUGGUGGGUAGUUUGACUGGGGCGGUCUCCUCCUAAAGAGUAACGGAGGAGCACGAAGGUUGGCUAAUCCUGGUCGGACAUCAGGAGGUUAGUGCAAUGGCAUAAGCCAGCUUGACUGCGAGCGUGACGGCGCGAGCAGGUGCGAAAGCAGGUCAUAGUGAUCCGGUGGUUCUGAAUGGAAGGGCCAUCGCUCAACGGAUAAAAGGUACUCCGGGGAUAACAGGCUGAUACCGCCCAAGAGUUCAUAUCGACGGCGGUGUUUGGCACCUCGAUGUCGGCUCAUCACAUCCUGGGGCUGAAGUAGGUCCCAAGGGUAUGGCUGUUCGCCAUUUAAAGUGGUACGCGAGCUGGGUUUAGAACGUCGUGAGACAGUUCGGUCCCUAUCUGCCGUGGGCGCUGGAGAACUGAGGGGGGCUGCUCCUAGUACGAGAGGACCGGAGUGGACGCAUCACUGGUGUUCGGGUUGUCAUGCCAAUGGCACUGCCCGGUAGCUAAAUGCGGAAGAGAUAAGUGCUGAAAGCAUCUAAGCACGAAACUUGCCCCGA
rnacentral:rRNA from 1 species